rnacentral:piRNA from 1 species
UUAUGUCUGAUAUGUCAAAAA